UUGAUAUACUUGCGGCCAACCAUCCAAUUUGAAGAUAUUUUACACUGUAGACAAUCCAACCAAAAAAUGGAAAGGAGGUGUAGGCUUCAUAUCAAAGGAUAUGGUUGUGAAAGGCCUACCUGCGCCUGGGGAGGAUACUCUUAUCCUAGUAUGCGGCCCCCCUGGGAUGAUGAAACAUAUAUCCGGAGACAAGGCAAAAGACCGCUCACAGGGAGA